CCUACGGGGGGCUGCAGUAGGGAAUCUUCCGCAAUGGACGAAAGUCUGACGGAGCAACGCCGCGUGAGCGAAGAAGGUCUUCGGAUCGUAAAGCUCUGUUGUUAGGGAAGAACAAGUACGGGAGGAAAUGACCGUACCUUGACGGUACCUAACGAGGAAGCCACGGCUAACUACGUGCCAGCAGCCGCGGUAAUACGUAGGUGGCAAGCGUUGUCCGGAAUUAUUGGGCGUAAAGCGCGCGCAGGCGGUCUUUUAAGUCUGAUGUGAAAUCUUGCGGCCCAACCGCAAGCGGUCAUGGGAAGUGGGGGGCCUGAGUGGCGAAGAGGAAAGGCGGAUUCCAAGUGGAGCGGGGAAAUGGGGAGGGGUGGGGGGGAACCACCAUGGGCAAGGGGGGCUUUUGGUUCGUAAAUGACGCUGGGGGGGCAAAGGCUGGGGAGCAAACAGGAUUAGAUACCCUUGUAGUC
rnacentral:rRNA from 1 species